UACGGAGGGUGCGAGCGUUGUCCGGAAUCACUGGGCGUAAAGGGCGCGUAGGUGGCGCGGCAAGUCGGCGGUGAAAGCCCGAGGCUCAACUUCGGGUCGGCCGUUGAUACUGCUGGGCUCGAGCACUGUAGAGGCAGAUGGAAUUCCGGGUGUAGCGGUGGAAUGCGUAGAGAUCCGGAAGAACACCGGUGGCGAAGGCGGUCUGC
rnacentral:rRNA from 1 species